AGAACGAACGCUGGCGGCAGGCCUCAAACAUGCAAGUCUAGGGGGCGUAGCAAUACGUCACCGGCGGACGGGUGCGUAACACGUGGGAAUGUACUUAUUGGUUCGGAACAACUCAGGGAAACUUGAGCUAAAUACCGAAUGUGCCCGAAAGGGGAAAGAUUUAUCGCCAAUAAAUCAGCCCGCGUCCGAUUAGCUAGUUGGUGGGGUAAAGGCCCACCAAGGCGACGAUCGGUAGCUGUUCUGAGAGGAAGAUCAGCCACACUGGGACUGAGACACGGCCCAGACUCCUACGGGAGGCAGCAGUUGGGAAUCUUGGACAAUGGGGGAAACCCUGAUCCAGCCAUGCCGCGUGAGUGAUGAAGGCCUUCGGGUUGUAAAACUCUUUCGACGGGGACGAUAAUGACGGUACCCGUAGAAGAAGCUCCGGCUAACUUCGCGCCAGCAGCCGC
rnacentral:rRNA from 1 species